rnacentral:rRNA from 1 species
CCUACGGGGGGCAGCAGUGGGGAAUCUUCCGCAAUGGGCGCAAGCCUGACGGAGCAAUGCCGCGUGAACGAAGAAGGUCUUCGGAUUGUAAAGCUCUUUCGGACGUGACGAUGAUGACGGUAGCGUCUAAAGAAGCACCGGCAAACUUCGUGCCAGCAGCCGCGGUAAUACGAAGGGUGCGAGCGUUGUUCGGAAUUACUGGGCGUAAAGGGAGUGUAGGCGGAUAUGUAAGAUAGCGGUGAAAUGCCGGGGCUCAACCCCGGAACUGCCAUUAUGACUAUGUAUCUAGAGUAAUGGAGAGGAUAGCGGAAUACCCAGUGUAGAGGUGAAAUUCGUAGAUAUUGGGUAGAACACCGGUGGCGAAGGCGGCUAUCUGGCCAUUUACUGACGCUGAGGCUCGAAAGCAUGGGGAUCAAACAGGAUUAGAUACCCUUGUAGUC